rnacentral:sRNA from 1 species
AUUAGAAAUUUAUAACCGAAGACAGCGGGUGUCUAAGACUUAAUUUCCCGCCGAGGUACAAUAUAUAGAUAUUGACCCCGUAGUUUUUGCGGGGUUUU